AGCAGCCGCGGUAAUUCCAGCUCCAAUAGCGUAUAUUAAAGUUGUUGCAGUUAAAAAGCUCGUAGUUGAAUUUCGGGAUUAAUGGAUCGGUCAUGCCGUUGGUAUGUACUGAUUUUAUUGAUUCUCACCUUCUAAAGAACCAUAAUGCCAUUAAUUUGGUGUUGUGGGGAAUUAGGACUGUUACCUUGAAAAAAUUAGAGUGUUUAAAGCAGGCAUACGCUUGAAUACAUUAGCAUGGAAUAACGAAAUAGGACAUCGCAUUCUAUUUUGUUGGUUUCUAGGAUCGAUGUAAUGAUUAAUAGGGAUAGUUGGGGGCAUUAGUAUUCAAUUGUCAGAGGUGAAGUUCUUGGAUUUAUUGAAGACUAACUACUGCGAAAGCAUUUGCCAAGGAUGUUUUCAUUAAUCAAGAACGAAAGUUAGGGGAUCGAAGACGAUCAGAUACCGUCGUAGUCUUAACCAUAAACUAUGCCGACUAGGGAUCGGAUGAUGUUAAUUUUUUAAUGACUCAUUCGG
rnacentral:rRNA from 1 species